rnacentral:rRNA from 1 species
CCUACGGGAGGCAGCAGUGGGGAAUUUUGCGCAAUGGGGGCAACCCUGACGCAGCAACGCCGCGUGAGUGAUGAAGGCCUUCGGGUCGUAAAGCUCUGUCAGAGGGGAAGAAAUGCAGGUGGUGAACAACCAUUCUGUUUGACGGUACCCUCAAAGGAAGCACCGGCUAACUCCGUGCCAGCAGCCGCGGUAAUACGGAGGGUGCGAGCGUUGUUCGGAAUUAUUGGGCGUAAAGCGCGUGUAGGCGGUUUGUUAAGUCGGAGGUGAAAGCCCCGGGCUCAACCUGGGAAGUGCAUUGGAUACGGGCAGACGAGAGUACGGGAGAGGAGAGUGGAAUCCCCAGGGUAGGGGUGAAAUCCGUAGAUAUGGGGAGGAACACCGGUGGCGAAGGCGGCUCCCCGGACCAAUACUGACGCUGAGACGCGAAAGCGUGGGGAGCAAACAGGAUUAGAUACCCCUGUAGU